AAAAUUUUCUAUGAUGCAAGGAACGGAAAAUUUGCAGAAUUCUCAAAGGGGGUAGUUGAUGGACGACCAUUUGAGGGCGGAGUGAUCAUGGAUUUUGAAACAGGAGUUCAGUACACGUUCAUGGAUGGACAUUGUAACACUACCCGACUGAGUCAAAAGGAAUUCAAGGAGGCCUGCAUUCCAGAGGAAGCCAAGGCGGUCAGUGAUACACACAUGGGGACAGCUGAUGACAGCCUGGAUGUCACCGUGUACCAGAUGGCCCGCAAACGCAUCGGAGGGAACAGCUACUUCACCAUCACUAACAAGCUGUGUGUCCCUGUGGGGGAGACCAUCACUGGGACCCUCCCCAGGAGUGGUAUGGGGUAUAUGUCCACCGUUGGGUACACAGGGAUUGAACCAGGAAUUAAAGACCCCAGGGUCUUUGACAAACCCAGGAUAUGCAGCAGCCAAGUAGAGGAGGGCUUUGUGGAUCUUUACCUGAAGUUUGGAUUUCUGAACCACGAAAUGUCCAGUAUUUUCUAAUAUACCAUAUAUCCAGGAUGAAAUCUCAUCACUUCCGUGAAACUUUAAAUUUUGUGAUCUGCACUUUUUUGUAUUGACAAUGUUCUUGUGUAACUUUUAUAUCUGAUCAUUCCUUCUAAUCCUUAUUGAUGUGCAUUCAUACUUCGUCAUAAUAUCUGAAGCCUUCUGGCGUUGAGUUGAUGCUUCUGUACGAUUUCUUUAGAGAAGAGGGGGUUUGUUUGCCUCAUUGUUUUGUGUGUUUUUUUCUAAGGGAAAAGUUUAACGUACUAGAAUGUGUACUUUUUUAAAGUCUUUUCUGAAUAAAAUUAACCAAAACUG
rnacentral:misc_RNA from 1 species